rnacentral:lncRNA from 1 species
CAAACACUGCCAAGGUCACGUCGACAGGCAGGCUAUAGAAAGGAACACACUCGGUGAGAAUCUGAGGUGCAGAGGCCCAGUAUGGUGGUGAGAAGAACCAGAAGGCACUCAAAAUUUAGGCCAGAAGGAUACGGGUAUGAGGAGAAAGAGAUAAUCCUUCCCACCUGCAUGCUUCCUCUUAGGACUUUAGGUCUGCCUACAUGUUGAAGAAGUUUGAGUUUUAGGCUUUGGGAGCAUUUCCUUAAAAACCAUUGUCAUGGGGGAGGAAAAAAAAAGGGUAGUGUUAAUUCUGUCUUCACACACUCAGAGAUCAUUUGGUUGGGCUACAUUUUAUGAGCUAUAUUCCAUAAAGAUGCUGCAAAGUUCAGGUAUCUGGUUUAGGAAAGAAAAAAAAAUCCCUUCUUUAACCCAAGAAAUGUAAUGCAAACAACUUGGGCCUGUGUCACUUAGUCUUCUAAGAAGACUUCAAGGCUGUUAUAAAGACCCAGUGGUGGGAGAAACCUGAUCCGGUAUAGCGGGGCCAGAAGAAGCUGCGGGACCAUGCCGCGGGGACAAGGCAAGGAGUUUCGCCAGGAUGUUGAUCUCCUGGUUAUCUACACUUCCGCCUCAGUAUGAUCUGAAUUAUUAAUGAGAAAGAUUAAGAUACAGAUUCCUUCCUUCAAGUGCCUUAGUAGUCACAGACAGGAGGUUAAUUAUAAGACUAAAAGCAAUCUUGGGUUGUUAGAAGAACUUAAAGGAAAACACCUUUCAACUUCUUGUUAUCAAUCAAUCAUUUUUGUCUUUAGAAAUCAAGAAUUUGAACAAUAACAGCUGCUUUCAGAAAUAAACCGCGACUUUGUGCAGCGUGUAUUACCUGA